rnacentral:rRNA from 1 species
GACGAACGCUGGCGGCGUGCUUAACACAUGCAAGUCGAACGGGCCUUGUCCCCUUUUUUUUUGGGGGUGGGGUUAGUGGCGAACGGGUGAGUAACACGUGAGUAACCUGCCCCUCACUUCUGGAUAACCGCUUGAAAGGGUGGCUAAUACGGGGUGUUCUGGCCUGCUCGCAUGGGUGGGUUUGGAAAGAUUCGACCGGUUUUGGUUGUUUUGGUGGGGGAUGGGCUCGCGGCCUAUCAGCUUGUUGGUGGGGUGAUGGCCUGCCAAGGCUUUGACGGGUAGCCGGCCUGAGAGGGUGGGCGGUCACACUGGGACUGAGACACGGCCCAGACUCCUACGGGAGGCAGCAGUGGGGAAUAUUGCACAAUGGGCGCAAGCCUGAUGCAGCGACGCCGCGUGAGGGAUGGAGGCCUUCGGGUUGGGAACCUCUUUCGCCAGUGAAGAAGGUCCUGCUCUUUGUGGUGGGGUUGACGGUAGCUGGGUUAAUGAAGCGCCGGCUAACUACGUG